AGUCCAGUCAUGUGGCUAGCAGGAAAAUGCAGGGGGCUUGGUGAAAAUUUGCUCUAGGUCCCAGACUUGGCAAAUGAUACAAGAUUUAACUCACACAGUCCGGCUUCCAAGCCCACACUCUUAACCACUGUACUCUCAGUCAGGGAUUGAGUGGGCAAGCACUGUGGGCUGCAGACACCAAGCUCCACCAUGAUUCCCCCUCCACUCUCAGAGGCUCCAUCCAGCUGGCAGGCUCACAGCACUGCAGCCCAGCAUCUGAAGUGGUACUGUCCCUAGGCUGAUGACUGUCACAUUUUUAGUGGGGCCAAAACUUUCCUCCAAGAUUCAGAUGUGUGUCACCAACUAGAGAGCAGGCUUGGAAUUUAAAAAUAAAGUUUUCAGUAAGUUGA
rnacentral:lncRNA from 1 species